AAUAGUGAUUAUACUAUUAUAGCAAACGAUAACGACGAGAGUACAACAUGUAAUUAAUUCUAAAAAUAAAUUACCCAAUAUAGUAAUAUACAAAUAUUUUACUGUUACAACGCCGUUAGUCGUUCAAAAUCCAUAAAAAAAUGAGACAUAGUCAAUCACUCUGUAUAAUAUUGCAACUUAACAGUACCCGGACGCACACGAUUGAACGCCUCGUUUAUAAUAUACGUUUUUAAUAUAACACAUUACAAAUGUAUUAUAAUAAUUUUAGUUAUUUAAAAAUUUGCAUUUUUAAUAAAAACAUAGUAUUAAGAAUGUACAAUUAAUUUUCUUCUUUUAAUUAAUUUUAGUAGGGGGUACGAUCGUUGUGUCGUCCAGGCCACUGCAUUACACACUAAUUCAACUUAUUUUAUGAAAUUUAGUAAUUUUUUCAGAUUACCUUUCAAUAAGAACCUACUUAAAAAUACCAAAACGGGAAUGGAUAUGUUUUAUUUGAUUUUAAUUAAGUUAUUUUAUAAUUGUUAUUUAUUUUUUAAAAUUGAUUUUCAUAAUUAUUAUCUAAAAUAAGUAAGUGGCGAGGAAGAAGAAGAAGAAGAUCUAAAAUAAAAUGUCAAAUUCCGGUUAAUUGGAUUAUGUUCUCCCUCCAUUACUGAAGUAGCAAUAAUUUCUGGGACUUCAGAUUUUGUUGAAUUAUUCGAAUGAUACUGUACGAAAUUGGCCAGAUGAUCAAUACUACGAAUAAGAGAAUCUUCAUACAUUUCAACUUUAGAAUGAUUGCCUAAGCAAUAGCUCUACGAAAAUAUUUCAAAACCAUCUCUGAAAAAGAAAUAUUCUAUUAAACACUAUUUAUGAUAUUAAAGCCAAAAAAGGAACAAGCUCAAUGUUUUUGUAAUAAAAAAAAAAAAUUAUUGAAUAAGAUUUAUCCACUUCGCAUAAUAUCAUUGUGAAAACUGAAUAUUAAAUAAUAAUAUAUGGAUUACUUAAAUGAAAACGGUAGACCGUCCAUGAAGUUCAUCUCACUUACUUUGAGGGUUGUUCAUUUAAAGUACAAUGACGAUGAUGUUUGUCAUACAGUAUUUGCGGUUUGCU